rnacentral:tRNA from 1 species
GUGGGUAUAGCUCAGUGGCAGAGCACGUGCUUAGCAUGCACGAGGUCCUAGGUUCAAUCCCCAGUACCUCCA